AUUGAACGCUGGCGGCAGGCCUAACACAUGCAAGUCGAGCGGAUGAAGGGAGCUUGCUCCUGGAUUCAGCGGCGGACGGGUGAGUAAUGCCUAGGAAUCUGCCUGGUAGUGGGGGAUAACGUCCGGAAACGGGCGCUAAUACCGCAUACGUCCUGAGGGAGAAAGUGGGGGAUCUUCGGACCUCACGCUAUCAGAUGAGCCUAGGUCGGAUUAGCUAGUUGGUGGGGUAAAGGCCUACCAAGGCGACGAUCCGUAACUGGUCUGAGAGGAUGAUCAGUCACACUGGAGCUGAGACACGGUCCAGACUCCUACGGGAGGCAGCAGUGGGGAAUAUUGGAAACUGGGCGAAAGCCUGAUCCAGCCAUGCCGCGUGUGUGAAGAAGGUCUUCGGAUUGUAAAGCACUUUAAGUUGGGAGGAAGGGCAGUAAGUUAAUACCUUGCUGUUUUGACGUUACCAACAGAAUAAGCACCGGCUAACUUCGU
rnacentral:rRNA from 1 species